UGGCCGAAGCCUCAGGUUUCUGGAGGAAUGUUCGUCCGCUCCAGGUUAGUCGGGAGCUAAGGUGAGGCCUAACGGCGUAGCCGAUGCACAGACGGUAGAGAUUCCGUCACCACCAAAAGAGUUAAACACAGGGACACAUAUGAAGUCUCGGAGCCGGGUGUUGGUUCCGGUAGCGAUCGAGGGAAGUUAGUACCGAAGUCCGGGAUGGAAGAUGGCGAGAAAAGCUGUGUGUAUUUCUGCGGUGCCCGUACCGCAAACCGACACAGGUAGGUAGGAAGAAGAUUCUAAGGCCAACGGGAGAAGGGUUGUUAAGGAACUCGGCAAAUUGACCCCGUAACUUCGGGAGAAGGGGUGCUGCAGCAAUGCAGCCGCAGAGAAUCGGCCCAAGCAACUGUUUACCAAAAACACAGGUUUGUGCUAAAUCGAAAGAUGACGUAUACGAGCUGACGCCUGCCCGGUGCUGGAAGGUUAAGAGGAGAUGUGCAAGCAUUGAAUCGAAGCCCCAGUGAACGGCGGCCGUAACUAUAACGGUCCUAAGGUAGCGAAAUUCCUUGUCAGGUAAGUUCUGACCCGCAUGAAAGGCGUAAUGAUUUGGGCACUGUCUCAACAGCCCGCCCGGCGAAAUUGUAGUACCGGUGAAGAUGCCGGUUACCCGCGACAAGACGGAAAGACCCCAUGGAGCUUUACUGUAGCCUAAUAUUGGGUUUCGAUGUUGCAUGCACAGGAUAGAUGGGACACUGGGAAGCAGGUGCUUUGGCGCUUGUGGAGUGGCCGUUGGGAUACCAUCCUUGCGAUAUUGGAAUUCUAACCUGCGCCUUUGAAUCAAGGCGGGGGACAUUGUUAGGUGGGCAGUUUGACUGGGGCGGUCGCCUCCUAAAGAGUAACGGAGGCGUUCAAAGGUUCGCUCAGCUUGAACGGAAAUCAAGCAAAAGAGUGCAAACGCAGAAGCGAGCCUAACUGCGAGACUGACGGGUCGAGCAGUAACGAAAGUUGGAGUUAGUGAUCCGGUGGUAUGUGAGUGGAAAUGCCAUCGCUCAACGGAUAAAAGUUACCCUGGGGAUAACAGGCUGAUCUCCCCCAAGAGUCCACAUCGACGGGGAGGUUUGGCACCUCGAUGUCGGCUCAUCGCAUCCUGGGGCUGUAUUCGGUCCCAAGGGUUUGGCUGUUCGCCAAUUAAAGCGGUACGCGAGCUGGGUUCAGAACGUCGUGAGACAGUUCGGUCCCUAUCUGUCGUGGGCGCAGGAUAUUUGAUGGGAGCUGUUCCUAGUACGAGAGGACCGGAGCGGACGUACCUCUGGCGCACCAGUUGUUCUGCCAAGAGCAUAGCUGGGCAACUAUGUACGGAUCGGAUAAACGCUGAAAGCAUCUAAGCGUGAAGCCGACCCAAAGAUAAGAUAUCCCACUGAUUUGAUCAGGUAAGAUCCCUUGAAGACUACAAGGUUGAUAGGCACAAUGUGUAAGUGGAGUGAUCCAUUCAGCAAGCGUGUACUAAUAGAUCGAGGGCUUGACCAC
rnacentral:rRNA from 1 species